CCGGCCGGCGCGCAAGCGCUGUACACGGCGUGUGUCUAGGGCUGCGAGCUCUAGGGAGCUUUCACUAAUCAAAACAUGAAGUGUUUUCGAAGAACACCGUUGCCUGAAUGGCCGUCAGCAGGCGGCCCUGCAGCGUAGCGGCUGCCUCGGCCCUCAGCCUUGACGCCGUGAGCUGCCCCUGCUGGAAAGGUCAGCCUCGCAUUUUUGGAAGAUGGUCAGAAUCAUUUCCAUGACUCAAGUUUCCUUCUCUUUGUGGAAAAAAGAGAAAAACAUGUGAAAAUUGCAUCGUAGGAAAAAGGCCUUAUCCUAAGAUUGAACUUUUAAAGGAAAUAUGACUGAAUUAGUGGAGUUUGAUGCCACUGGAAGUGCUCAGACCUUGUAAUAGGCAUCUGAAUCAGCUGAGUCUCCCAUCAAGUAUUUGUUAAUGCAAACACAAUGUUUCUGUUCUGUGGGAAGGUGAAAUUCCUGUUCUGCAGAAAGCAGGUAAGGGUAAACUUCUCCUUUAUGCAAAAUGCCAGAAAGAAGAUGUGGCCAGAGGUGCAUUUGUUGAAGUGUCUGGCUUCUCAGUGAGAGUCUUUUGGAAAAUGCUUAAUAUGUGCUUUUGUUCACAUGGGUUGCACUCAACAAACAAACCAUUCUUUUGUGUGCCAG
ensembl:lncRNA